GUUGCAUGGGCGGUGGUUGCUUUGGAUCAAACCAAAGAGGAAAGUCCGAGCUACAUAAGACAGGAUUCCAUUUAACAGAUGGCUAGCGUGAGCUAAGGGAAAGUGCCACAGAAAAUAACCGCUCGUUGAGAGUAAGGGUGAAAAGGUGGGGUAAGAGCCCACCGCGUCCUAAGCAAUUAGGAUCGGACUUAGGCAAACCCAAUCUGUAGCAAGAAGUGUAUGGUAAGGUCUUAAGUUUAGGCACUUCGCAAGAGGUGGGUUGUAAAACUCAUCCUAGAUAAAUAACCACCCACGACAGAACUCGGCUUAUGCCCAUGCACCAUAA
rnacentral:RNase_P_RNA from 1 species